rnacentral:lncRNA from 1 species
GAUCGAGUUGCAGGCGAUCGAUUGCAGGUAGAGCUUGAAAACCAGCGAUUGUUGUUGGAAGUGACGAAGCACUUCCUCUCCUGUAUAUCAUCCAGCUCUGGAAGUAAACGAAUAGGGUUAGUUCGUAGUCUCCUUGUUACGAAUGCCUAACCGCACCGUAAAACGCAUUAAGAUCCACUACUGCAUAGACAUUCGGAGUCACUAUACAUAACUAGCAACAUGUAACUCAAAUCAUCUUUUGGAAUCAAGCUCUAUUUAUAACAUGGUAUCAGUGCGGCCCUAGUCCUGACGAGAGGAUAGACUAUGAGAGCUUUAGUGUACAUCCAGAGAUCAAUGUAGGCAAUACAGAGAAUACUGAGAAUUUCUCCUUCUUCCUCUCUAGAAUCGUGAGUUAAUUAGAGGUAACACUGUGGAGUAGCACUGCGACAAUUUUUUUUUUCUUUUUUUUUCCUUCAAGAAUAGCACUAGAAUUGUGAGGAAAUCAGAGGUAGUACUAAAGAGUAGUUCUACGAAACUUUGUCUCUCGUACCAAGAUUGGCACUAGCAUUGUAAGUUAAAUCAAAGACAGCACUGUAGAGUUAUACUGCGAAAUUCCUCUCUUACACUAAGAUCGUGAGAAAGAAGCUAUCAAAGACUUCACUACAAAAAGAGAGUAGCAUUGCGAUACUCAUCUCUUGCACUACAGCGAUAGGAUCGUAAGAAAAACAUAGCAUCAUGGCAGAACGUAGAAAUUUGACGGUAGGCGAGUCCAAUAAACUUGAAGGACUUGGAAACUACCAUGUCUGGAGACUAAAAAUGCGGGCAAUAUUUUGGAGUGAAAUCUGUCGGAGGUUGUGGAAAGCGUAAUCUCACCCACAUCCUUUCCAACGAUACUACCUAGUGGGAGGCACAUCACUGAACAACAAUUGCACGAUUUAAAAACCACGGCUUGCAGCGCUUUUAUUAUGUAUGCGAAAGAUUCGCUAGUUGACAUUGUGGCCGAACAUGAGGAUCUUGCAACAGCAUGGGAAGCGUUACGAGCACCAUAUGAGAAUGGAGAUCCAUCUAUGGUGUUAUUCGUAACAAAUCAACUAAACCAAAUCAAGCUCUCCGAGGAAGGGCUGUUGGAAUAUCUCAGCGAGGCACGAGAAUUAAAGAACAAACUUGCGGCACUUAGAGAGCCUCUGUCUGAUUAUACUCUUGUACAAGUGGUACUCAAUGGACUGCCCCGAUCUUACGAGUACAUUAUACCCACGCUGUGUACUAUUUCAAACUUUUGACAAGAUGAGUGCAGUAUCACUCACAGAACACCACCGUCUGCAGCAUUGAAAAUUACACCUAGGCGAUGACGAGGCUCUCUCAGUUCAAUUCCGACGAGGAGAUCAACUCUCUACAGGACGAGGAAGAUACUUGUACAACUCAGGAUGAGGUCGGGGAUCUGCACAUCAUUCCUACAGAGGCAAAUCAUCAGAAACAUUACAUGAGCACAAAUGGUGAAUGGACUCAGGGUGCUUUGUUUGCGGCAAGCCUAGCCACUACGUGCGGUACUGUCGAAAUUAAAGAGGAUCACGUGAGCCUUGCUAUCGCACUACAAACCUCGAGGAGGAUAAGAACCGAAAAGAAGAAUCCGAAAUUGAAACUACAGAUGAGGUACUAGAAGUAGCCUUUACAGAACUCCAAUCUGAUCUCAUCAUUGUGUAUUAUACCAUUUACAAUAUACUAAUUGAUGUACUUUUCAUAGAAAACAAAAACAAAUCAGUAAUCACUGCAGUAGGAGAGAAACACAAGAUUGAAGGAAUAGGAAAUGAUUAGCUAUGUACAAAAGAAGGAAAAAUAAAGUUGUAUGACGUUCUCUACAUUUUGUCUCUGAAUAGAAAUCUAAUCUCAGUAAACACAUUGACUGACAAAGAUAACUUGGUUAUUUUUAAUGAAAGUAAAUGUUUUGUUUUUAACAAUGCACAUGAUAGAUUGAUAAUGGGUUCUGGCAGUAGAGAUUAUUCAAAUGGCUUAAAAAAUAAAUGGAAGGACAUACCACAUAUGAUGUAAAUGCUACAGUACACAAUGAUGAGAUCAGAUUAUGGCAUCACAAAUAUGGGGACUUAAGCUAUUUUGGUUUACAUCAUCUUUAUCUAAACAUAGCAUUGUUGGUCUAUCAAAAAUAGAUCUUACCUGGUUGCCAAAGAAGAGAAAGUUUUUCUAUCAAAAGUACAUCAAA